AGGGUUUGAUUAUGGCUCAGGAUGAACGCUGGCGGCGUGCCUAAUACAUGCAAGUCGAACGCUUCACUUCGGUGAAGAGUGGCGAACGGGUGAGUAAUACAUAAGUAACCUGGCCUUUACAGGGGGAUAACUAUUGGAAACGAUAGCUAAGACCGCAUAGGUGUGUCCAUCGCAUGAGGGACAUAUGAAAUAUGCUACGGCAUAGGUAGAGGAUGGACUUAUGGCGCAUUAGCUAGUUGGAGGGGUAACGGCCCACCAAGGCGACGAUGCGUAGCCGACCUGAGAGGGUGACCGGCCACACUGGGACUGAGACACGGCCCAG
rnacentral:rRNA from 1 species